rnacentral:rRNA from 1 species
AACGAACGCUGGCGGCAUGCCUAACACAUGCAAGUCGAACGAGACCUUCGGGUCUAGUGGCGCACGGGUGCGUAACGCGUGGGAAUCUGCCCUUCGGUUGGGAAUAACUGAGAGAAAUUUCAGCUAAUACCUUAUAAUGUCUUCGGACCAAAGAUUUAUCGCCGAGGGAUGAGCCCGCGUAGGAUUAGGUAGUUGGUGGGGUAAUGGCCUACCAAGCCGACGAUCCUUAGCUGGUCUGAGAGGAUGAUCAGCCACACUGGGACUGAGACACGGCCCAGACUCCUGCGGGAGGCAGCAGUGGGGAAUAUUGGACAAUGGGCGAAAGCCUGAUCCAGCAAUGCCGCGUGAGUGAUGAAGGCCUUAGGGUUGUAAAGCUCUUUUACCCGGGAUGAUAAUGACAGUACCGGGAGAAUAAGCUCCGGCUAACUCCGUG